GGGUUCACUUUUCCUGUUGCUGAGUUAUUUCUAGAAGAUGUUCUAGAAAAGACAUGUUACAGGAUCAAUUCCGAACGUGAUAAUUUUGCAGGUAGUUCAAGGAGAAAGAGGUUUUCAUCAGUUAAGAGUGAUCCACUGUCUGAUGUUUUUGAGGACAUUGACAUUACUAAGGAGUAUGGAAAUUACAGCAGUUCAACAAGGCAGUCCCUUGAAGCUUGGUCUGCUGCUGAACUAGAUUUGAGCCUU